GCCUAAAGCGUCCGUAGCUGGCCCUGCAAGUCCGUCGGGAAAUCCACUCGCCUAACGAGUGGGCGUCCGGCGGAAACUACAGGGCUUGGGACCGGAAGACUUGAGGGGUACGUCUGGGGUAGGAGUGAAAUCCUGUAAUCCUGGACGGACCGCCGAUAGCGAAAGCACCUCAAGACGACGGAUCCGACAGUGAGGGACGAAAGCUAGGGUCUCGAAC
rnacentral:rRNA from 1 species